AUCCACAGCCAUAUCACCCUGCAGCCCAAGACCGGUUACUCACUUAAGCUAAGCAGGGUUGAGCCUGGUUAGUACCUCGAUAGGAGACCAGAUGGGAAAACUAGGUUGUUGUUGAAG
ensembl:rRNA 5S_rRNA 5S ribosomal RNA